UGUGGAUGAUGACAAGCUUUGUCCUGACCCUACUGUGGGGGUUUUUAAAAUGAUUUAAUGAGCCUGACGC